AUUGAACGCUGGCGGCAGGCCUAACACAUGCAAGUCGAGCGAGCGGCGGACGGGUGAGUAAUGUAUGGGGACUGCCCGAUAGAGGGGGAUAACUACUGGAAACGGUAGCUAAUACCGCAUACUAUCGGAUAACCCAUAUGCGUUUGGCUAGUAGGUGAGGUAAUGGCCAACCUAGGCGACGAUCCCUGGCUGGUCUGAGAGGAUGAUCAGCCAAACUGGGACUGAGACACGGCCCAGAGUCCUACGGAGGCAGAAGUGGGGAAGAUUGCACGAUGGGCGCAAGCCGGAUGCAGCCAUGCCGCGUGUGUGAAGAAGGCCCUAGGGAUGUAAAGUACUUUCAGUCGGGAGGCGUUGCCGACAGAAGAAGCAACGGCUAACUCCGUGCCAGCAGCCGCGGUAAUAC
rnacentral:rRNA from 1 species